rnacentral:rRNA from 1 species
UACGUAGGGGGCAAGCGUUGUCCGGAAUCAUUGGGCGUAAAGCGCGUGUAGGCGGCCCAGUAAGUCCGCUGUGAAAGCCCAGGGCUCAACCCUGGGAUGCCGGUGGAUACUGUUGGGCUCGAGUCCGGAAGAGGCGAGUGGAAUUCCCGGUGUAGCGGUGAAAUGCGCAGAUAUCAGGAAGAACACCCGUGGCGAAGGCGGCUCUCUGGGACGGUACUGACGCUGAGACGCGAAAGCGUGGGGAGCAAACAGG